GAGAACCGAAGCCCAAGAAUACCCUGACAAGGAUUAAAUUUUUUUGGAAGUUCCGAAAAAAAUAAAAUAAAGAAUGACGUGUACAGAUCAAGUGGGGGCAUGGCUCUUCAGUGGGGGCAUCGGCGCUUCCAUUACUUGUCAAUUCGCAACUUCCAGAUAUUCGUUCAUAUUUGCGUGAGUCGCUCUCGCUCUCGUCUGCCCUAGCUUCUGGUACAAAUUUCAGGUAUCGACGAAGCAGAUCUCGUACUUGAUCUUGAGUGUGUGUUUUUCGUGUGUUCCUCUUCAUCUUCAAUAGUUCUCGAUCUUGUUUCAUACUGGAAGAUAAAGUUUUUUCUCUGGCGAAGAUAUCUUUGAGGAAGACUGGACUUAUAAACCAAGGAUCUUAUACAACUCUUGAGAUAUUUAGAUUACAAGUUGGUUUUCCUUUCUACUGCUGCUUACAUUGUCAACUAGUCUCCCCAACUCAAGUCAUUGCUUCUGACUAUAUAAAGAUAUUUGUAGUGCAAUCAGGUUAUAAGAUCAAUCUUGAAGUUGAAAUCAUGUUAAUUGUUGAAGACUAGAUGGAAAUAGGUGAUUUGUUUUGACUCAAAGAAAAAAUAAAUUGUACCGAUGGAUCGCUUGCAUGUUCUGCAGUUGUUGUCUCAACAUUGCUGCCUCCCUUUGCCAGAACUAGCAAGUUAAAUGCAUUUGGUAACAGAGUUAAUCUUCUUCGUUUAACAUGUUAUUCUAAAUAGAAUAGACACAUCUUCCAAAGCUGAUGAAUUUAUUUAGAUAGUAAUAGAUCUGAAAAUCCAAGGACUUGCACUGAAUCUGAUGAAACAUCAUUUGCCGAUAGUCUACAAGUCAAUUCUAGUAGGUCUAGAAAUUGAUGACCUUAUUUUUUUCAAUCAAGCAGUUCAAAUAGGUAAAAAUACAACUAGCUUAUGGUGAAUAUGUUUUGAACUGAUGACCUUAUUUUUCUCCUUCCAGUUAUUCGAGAACAUAUUAAAUGCUGGAAAUCCUAUUAUGGUUAUUUUAAUGUGUUUUUAAGUAUGACUGUGUGUGGUAAACUCUAACCUCCUUGUAUUUGCCAAUAUUUGACUGGGGGCAAGGCUCUAGGGAAUGUGUGCUCGAGCAACUCUAUACUGCAGGUCUGAUUGAAUAUUACUCUUGCAUGUUAACAUAGGAGAUAUAUUUUAGUUCUUCAGUGCAACCGUUGCUUGUUUGCAGUCGUUAUAGUUAAAAUUCACUUUAAAAUUUAAAGCAUUCUGCUUUAAUACCUCUUCAAUUGAGUCUGUUAUUACAGUGCGAAUGCCUGUUUGGUUUUGUUUUCGGAGAGGUUUGCAACAAUAAUACUGGAAAAUAGCUUUUGGUCAAAAGAUACAGAGACUUGUUUGGCAAAUUAUUUUAUGAAAACUGAUUUUGGUGCAUAUAUUCGCAGGAAAAAAAUAUGAAAACCUUGGGAAAUGUAAAAGUGCACUAUGUAGAUUGCCUUCAAGAACAAUUUUGAGAUAUUAUUUUUUGAAAAAGUAAUAAUUUAAUGAAGACUUCGAUUUUGAAAGUAUUCAGUAAUUUUUUCUUAGAUGCAUUUUCAUCUAAUACAAUUCACAUUCAUGAUUUUAAAAACUAAAAAGUCAUUCCUGGUAGAAGCAGUUGGGGAUAAUCUACUCAAUUUGACUCUAAUGAUUGGAUUGUUUAAGUUCGGCUUAUUGAAUCAUUUGGACUUUAAUUAAAUUUUUUAUCUUGCUUGUGUAGUUGGAUGAUUCAUUGAUUACGAACAAGAGUUAUACUAAAAGAAAGUAGUGAUGUGUCAUCUAUCCGAUCCUUGCUGAAAUGGGAAAAAUAAUUACUUCUUGAUAGUUAUGCAUUUUUGUUACGUAUUUAGAUUUCGGAUUUCAAAAAUAGAUUUCUAGAAUAAGAUUGUAAUGUAAUUUCAAAAACAAAGGUUUUUACUCUCAAGUCAUCCAGAAAGAGGCUGGUUAGCUUUUAAAAGCCCCAGAAAACUAGUAAGUUUAAAUUGCAUAUCUACUCUUGUGCAUAGUAAGUUUCUCGAGGAUGUAUUUUCUAAUGGUAUAUUUAAGAUACACUGCAGACAUGAAAGCAAAUGAAAGUUUCACUCUGUACUAUGUUCUUUUGUCAGAUUUCUUAAGUUUGUGAGAUGCAAGUUUUUCGUAUUGACAGUGACACAAUCACUGCCCAACUAGAAAGCCGUUUCCUCUAAUGUAGCCUAGAUAAAGGUUCCACUGUUUCUAUUAUCCUCAAAUUUGUAUAAUGAAAUAUGAGUUGCUCAGAAGUAAGUUGGGUAGAUGUAAAUAAAGUGCCAACUGCUCAGUAGACGGAAUGCUCUAAAGUAACCAUGCAUACACACUAAAGCAGAAAACCAAGUAAUAAAAUGACAACAAAA